AUUCAUCAUUCUUGCAUUAAUCUAUAAACAAAAUCAUUUAUGUUAGAAAGCAAAAUAACAAUGUAAUGAGGAGGGAGAGUGGGGAUUCUUUUAUUAGCAUUUGAAAAUGUUUGUAAACAUUUUGUUUAAUUAUUAUAAACUCUAAUCACUGUUAAAUCAAAAUGUAUAAGUAUUUUAACUGAUAACAUCGAACAGAGUUUAAUACAGAAAUACAGGACCAUGAUUUAAUUCAAUAUUAUACCUCAAAUUCAAAUUGUCCAAUGAAAAAACAGCAUUUGUACCACGUGGUAGUGUGAUUUUUUAC